GGAGGGGUGGCCGAGUGGCUGAAGGCAACGGUUUGCUAAACCGUCGUACCGGGAAACUGGUACCGUGGGUUCGAAUCCCAUCCCCUCCGCCA
rnacentral:tRNA from 4 species